GAUGAACGCUGGCGGCGUGCCUAAUACAUGCAAGUCGAGCGAAUGGAUUAAGAGCUUGCUCUUAUGAAGUUAGCGGCGGACGGGUGAGUAACACGUGGGUAACCUGCCCAUAAGACUGGGAUAACUCCGGGAAACCGGGGCUAAUACCGGAUAACAUUUUGAACCGCAUGGUUCGAAAUUGAAAGGCGGCUUCGGCUGUCACUUAUGGAUGGACCCGCGUCGCAUUAGCUAGUUGGUGAGGCAACGGCUCACCAAGGCAACGAUGCGUAGCCGACCGGGGAGGGUGCUCGGCCACACUGGGACUGAGAAACGGCCCAGACUCCUACGGGAGGCAGCAGUAGGGAAUCUUCCGCAAUGGACGAAAGUCUGACGGAGCAACGCCGCGUGAGUGAUGAAGGCUUUCGGGUCGUAAAACUCUGUUGUUAGGGAAGAACAAGUGCUAGCUGAAUAAGCUGGCACCUUGACGGUACCUAACCAGAAAGCCACGGCUAACUACGUGCCAGCCGCCGCGGUAA
rnacentral:rRNA from 1 species